rnacentral:sRNA from 1 species
CACACUCAGGGAAAGAUGACUACACAGAGCUCUACACAAGGGGCAGCAUUUGGGGCCCGUGGUAGAGUUCUAUCUACCUGCCAAAUGAAGUAAACACAUGUUUAGCAACUUGAGAUCUCUGUGAAGUAAAUAUCACCAAAUAAACCCAGCCGCUCCAAGCAAGAAGAAAGCUCAGAGUAUGAUAAUCAAAUGUCAAGGGUGCAACUCGAAAUGUAACGUCAUACAGAGCUCUCAGAUGAGCAGAAGUCCACUGUGUAUCUGCACCGCAUUUUCAUUACCUGUUCACCGUCGGUAGACAUUGGGGCUGUUUUUGUGCUUCCUGGCUGCUAGGAAGAGAGCAGCAAUGAGCACAGACGAAAAGAGUUGACAUAUUUCAGUUUUACAAUCAUCCAUGCUGGCGACACUGCUCUGCGUAGACACACAGGACAAAUGGCAGAAAUAUAUUUAUAGCCAUUUGAGAAAUUGAUGGAAAUUGUGUCCAAAACUCAAGCCAAGGACUUUUUAUGAAG